rnacentral:tRNA from 1 species
AGUCCAGUCGUCUAAUGGAAGGACGCUUGAUUUGCAUUCAAGAUAUGCGGGUUCGAGUCCCGCCUGGACUU